rnacentral:rRNA from 1 species
GACGAACGCUGGCGGCGUGCCUAAUACAUGCAAGUAGAACGCACAGUUUAUACCGUAGCUUGCUACACCAUAGACUGUGAGUUGCGAACGGGUGAGUAACGCGUAGGUAACCUGCCUGGUAGCGGGGGAUAACUAUUGGAAACGAUAGCUAAUACCGCAUAAUAUUAAUUAUUGCAUGAUAAUUGAUUGAAAGGUGCAAUUGCACCACUACCAGAUGGACCUGCGUUGUAUUAGCUAGUAGGUGAGGUAACGGCUCACCUAGGCGACGAUACAUAGCCGACCUGAGAGGGUGAUCGGCCACACUGGGACUGGGACACGGCCCAGACUCCUACGGGAGGCAGCAGUAGGGAAUCUUCGGCAAUGGACGAAAGUCUGACCGAGCAACGCCGCGUGAGUGAAGAAGGUUUUCGGAUCGUAAAGCUCUGUUGUAAGAGAAGAACGGGUGUGAGAGUGGAAAGUUCACACUGUGACG